rnacentral:rRNA from 1 species
GACGUAAGGCGCGAGCGUUGUCCGGAUUUAUUGGGCGUAAAGAGCUCGUAGGCGGCUUGUCGCGUCGACCGUGAAAACUUGGGGCUCAACCCCAAGCCUGCGGUCGAUACGGGCAGGCUCGAGUUCGGUAGGGGAGACUGGAAUUCCUGGUGUAGCGGUGAAAUGCGCAGAUAUCAGGAGGAACACCGGUGGCGAAGGCGGGUCUCUGGGCCGAUACUGACGCUGAGGAGCGAAAGCGUGGGGAGCGAACAGG